rnacentral:rRNA from 1 species
CAGCAGCCUCGGUAAAACGUAGGGGGCAAGCGUUGUCCGGAAUUAUUGGGCGUAAAGCGCGCGCAGGCGGUUUUUUAAGUCUGGUGUCUAAGUGCGGGGCUCAACCCCGUGACGCACUGGAAACUGGGAGACUUGAGUGCAGAGGAGGAGAGCGGAAUUCCACGUGUAGCGGUGAAAUGCGUAGAGAUGUGGAGGAACACCAGUGGCGAAGGCGGCUCUCUGGACUGUAACUGACGCUGAGGCGCGAAAGCGUGGGGAGCAAACAGGAUUAGAUACCCCAGUAGUCCCUGUCUCUUAUACA